GAUGAACGCUGGCGGCGUGCUUAACACAUGCAAGUCGAACGGAAAGGCUCCUGCUUGCAGGGGUACUCGAGUGGCGAACGGGUGAGUAGCACGUGGGUGAUCUGCCCUGCACUUCGGGAUAAGCCUGGGAAACUGGGUCUAAUACCGGAUAGGACCACAUUUUGGAUGGUGUGGUGGAAAGUUUUUCGGUGUGGGAUGAGCUCGCGGCCUAUCAGCUUGUUGGUGGGGUAAUGGCCUACCAAGGCGUCGACGGGUAGCCGGCCUGAGAGGGUGUACGGCCACAUUGGGACUGAGAUACGGCCCAGACUCCUACGGGAGGCAGCAGUGGGGAAUAUUGCACAAUGGGCGCAAGCCUGAUGCAGCGACGCCGCGUGGGGGAUGACGGCCUUCGGGUUGUAAACUCCUUUCGCUAGGGACGAAGCGCAAGUGACGGUACCUGGAGAAGAAGCACCGGCUAACUACGUG
rnacentral:rRNA from 1 species